rnacentral:rRNA from 1 species
AUGGAUCAGGGCGAGGGCUCCGCUAGGAUCGUGCGAGGCAGAGGCAGGAACAAGAGGAAGUGGACAAUGGACGAGGACGAGGAGCUGGUCAGGGCCCUCUGCAAGGUGUCCACCGACCCCAGGUUCAGGGCCGAAGGAGGGGGCUUCAAGAACUGCUACACCCAGGGGAUAGAGAGCCUGCUCGCGCAGCGGCUGCCCGGCCGCGGCAUAAAAGCCAGCCCUCACAUCGACUCCCGGCUCAAGGUGCUCAAGCGCAAGUUCCACGCGAUCAAGGAGAUGCUCGCGUCGCCGGGGUUCUCCUGGGACGGCUCCAGGAAGGUCUUCCGGUGCGAGAAGCAGCGAUACGACGAGUACUGCAAAGAUAAUCCUAGAGCCAGGGGGAUGUACGGUGUUCCAUUUCCGCAUUUCGAUGUAUUUGAUGCGGUGUAUGGCAAGGAUAGAGCCGCUAGGGAAGUGGUGGAAGUGUCCGAGGAAGUAACCGCCGACAUGGAGAAUGGGAAUACGAGUGAAGCGGAGGAAGAUCGGACGUCCAAUGGACCGUCCGGCCGAUCCUUGGAUGCUACAUCAACCUAUAAAAAACAGGAGAGAUGUAAGAAUGGCGGUAAAAGGAAGAGGACUGAAUCGAAUUGCCUGUCUCCAGACACGUUGAAGGAUGUGCGUGGUCACUAUCAACGCGCCAGCCAGCAUGUCGACACGAUGGCAGAAGCGAUGGAGCUGUUCAAGGAUGUGCACCGUCACUUCCAGAGUGUUGUUCAGCAUGCCGGUGCAAUGGCAGCGGCAAUGGAGGCGUUCAAGGAUGCACACGAUCAGUUUCAGAGUGUUGUUCAGAAUGUGAGCACCGCCGCAACAGCCAUGGAGCAGUUCAAGGAUGCACAUGAUCAGUUUCGAAGUAUCACCCAGAAUGGCAGCGCAACUGAAGCAGUUAUUGAGCCUCAUGCUGAUCUGCGAGAAAGAUUGUCGCCUGAGGUGCCCCAACAGGAUGCCAGGGUAAGAGCCAUUGCCGAGAUGCAAAAGCUUGGGUUUACCGGAAGCGAAGUGGUCAGCGCUGCGAGUGUUUUCACAAAGGAACCGGACCAAAUGGGCAUGUUUUUAGCACUCCCCGAAAUCUACAGGAGGGAGUACAUACUCAAGAUGCUCAAUGGUGGGCAAUCUCUCCAUUUUUAG